rnacentral:rRNA from 1 species
UACGAAGGGGCUAGCGUUGCUCGGAAUCACUGGGCGUAAAGCGCACGUAGGCGGACUCUUAAGUCGGUGGUGAAAUCCUGGAGCUCAACUCCAGAACUGCCUUCGAUACUGAGAGUCUUGAGUCCGGGAGAGGUGAGUGGAACUGCGAGUGUAGAGGUGAAAUUCGUAGAUAUUCGGCAAGAACACCAGUGGCGAAGGCGGCUCACUGGCCCGGUACUGACG